GCUUGCUGUUCAACCUCUGGCACCUCGACAAUGGCGUCUUCAUGUUGCCAAUGUUCGGAAUGUUUAGCUUCAAUUUUGUGUAAGUGUCCUACUAGGUUUCUUCUCCAUAUAUUAUCAGAAAGUUAUAUGACUUCUGCAUAGAACAUUUAUUCAGCAAUAGUGUCGGUUUAACUCUCUUUUUGUGCCUCAUGGCCUACUGUAUAUUAUAUUGGCU
rnacentral:misc_RNA from 1 species